rnacentral:rRNA from 1 species
AUUGAACGCUGGCGGCAGGCCUAACACAUGCAAGUCGAACGAGUGGCGGACGGGUGAGUAAUGUCUGGGAAACUGCCCGAUGGAGGGGGAUAACUACUGGAAACGGUAGCUAAUACCGCAUACCAUCGGAUUUGCCCAGAUGGGAUUAGCUUGUAGGUGAGGUAACGGCUCACCUAAGCGACGAUCCCUAGCUGGUCUGAGAGGAUGACCAGCCACACAGGAACUGAGACACGCUCCAGACUCCUACGGGAGGCAGCAGUGGGGAAUAAUGCACAAAAGGCGCAAGCCUAAAGCAGCCAUGCCGCGUGUAUGAAGAAGGCCUUCGGUUUGUGAAGUACUUUCAGCAAGGAGGCGUUACCCGCAGAAGGAGCACCGGCUAACUCCGUGGCAGCAGCCGCGGUAAUUC